CCUACGGGUGGCAGCAGUGGGGAAUAUUGGACAAUGGGCGAAAGCCUGAUCCAGCCAUGCCGCGUGUGUGAAGAAGGCCUUCGGGUUGUAAAGCACUUUCAGUGGGGAAGAAAGCCUUGGGGCUAAUACCCUCGAGGAAGGACAUCACCCACAGAAGAAGUACCGGCUAACUCCGUGCCAGCAGCCGCGGUAAUACGGAGGGUGCGAGCGUUAAUCGGAAUUACUGGGCGUAAAGCGCGCGUAGGCGGUCUGAUAAGCCGGUUGUGAAAGCCCCGGGCUCAACCUGGGAACGGCAUCCGGAACUGUCAGGCUAGAGUGCAGGAGAGGAAGGUAGAAUUCCCGGUGUAGCGGUGAAAUGCGUAGAGAUCGGGAGGAAUACCAGUGGCGAAGGCGGCCUUCUGGACUGACACUGACGCUGAGGUGCGAAAGCGUGGGUAGCAAACAGGAUUAGAUACCCGAGUAGUC
rnacentral:rRNA from 1 species